rnacentral:rRNA from 1 species
AGUGAACGCUGGCGGUAGGCCUAACACAUGCAAGUCGAACGGCAGCACAGGAGAGCUUGCUCUCUGGGUGGCGUAGUGGCGGACGGGUGAGGAAUACAUCGGAAUCUACUUUUCGUGGGGGAUAACGUAGGGAACUUACGCUAAUACCGCAUACGACCUACGGGUGAAAGCAGGGAUCUUCGGACCUUGCGCGAUUGAAUGAGCCGAUGUCGGAUUAGCUAGUUGGCGGGGUAAAGGCCCACCAAGGCGACGAUCCGUAGCUGGUCUGAGAGGAUGAUCAGCCACACUGGAACUGAGACACGGUCCAG